CGAAGACGCGCAGCGGCAAAAUCAUGCGCCGCCUCCUCAAGGCCCGCGAGCUCGGACUCCCGGAGGGGGACACGAGCACGCUGGAGGACUAGUCUCGGUACCGGCUCCGACUUCGCCGACUAACUUAUUGUUCGACUAGCCCUAACACAUGGAUGCAGGCGGACAGAUCCCCCGCCACUCCACACAUCGCACCCAAGAUCUGGUUCUACGAGGGGUAGCCUGCCUUCACCAAGCCGACGACGUUCCCCUCCGGAUCGGCAAACUGAGCGAGGACCACCAUC
rnacentral:misc_RNA from 1 species